GAACAAAUGCAACAGAAGAAGCAGUAUUCUUAGCAAGACCAAAUGAAAUUGAACUUCGUGGGAACUAUGAUUGCCCUGAGAUGUUAUUGACAGGAAUAAACUUAGAAAUUGAAAAGAGCAGACCAUACUCAUUGUUUUACGUUUUAACUGAUGCUACCGCGAAAGACACAUAUUUGUAUGAAGAGGUUCAAAGAAAGGCCCUAAGUAAAUUUAUACAGGUAACAUUCUUACUGACGGGAGAUUGUAAUCAAAGGGAUAGUCUUAAUUACAAUGUAUACAAGAAACUCGCUAAGGUUACAGGGGGUGAGGUGCUUAAUAUCGAAAAGGACGAAGUAAAAAAGAUAAUGGAUUAUAUAAUUCAUACAAUUAAAUAUAAGAGUGAGAAAAUUUACAAUCGACACUUUCCAGCUCAUUUCAAUGAAAAAAU